UAAACUUAGACAGUUACUUAACAAAAUUGUACGCCAGAGAACUACGAGCCACAGCUUAAAACUCAAAGGACUUGGCGGUGCUUUAUACCCCCUAGAGGAGCCUGUUCUGUAAUCGAUAAACCCCGAUCAACCUCACCAAUC
rnacentral:rRNA from 1 species